AGUUUGAUCCUGGCUCAGGAUGAACGCUAGCUACAGGCUUAACACAUGCAAGUCGAGGGGCAGCGGUAUCGAAAGCUUGCUUUCGGUAGCCGGCGACCGGCGCACGGGUGAGUAACGCGUAUCGAACCUGCCUCAUACUCGGGAAUAGCCUUGCGAAAGUAAGAUUAAUGCCCGGUGUUUUCAGAGUCCCGCAUGAGGCUUUGAACAAAGAUUUAUCGGUAUGAGAUGGCGAUGCGUCCCAUUAGCUUGUUGGCGGGGUAACGGCCCACCAAGGCAUCGAUGGGUAGGGGUUCUGAGAGGAAGGUCCCCCACAUUGGAACUGAGACACGGUCCAAACUCCUACGGGAGGCAGCAGUGAGGAAUAUUGGUCAAUGGGCGGAAGCCUGAACCAGCCAAGUAGCGUGCAGGAAGACGGCCCUCCGGGUUGUAAACUGCUUUUAGUUGGGAAUAAAACGGGGCUCGUGAGCCCCCUUGCAUGUACCAUCAGAAAAAGGACCGGCUAAUUCCGUGCCAGCAGCCGCGGUAAUACGGAAGGUCCGGGCGUUAUCCGGAUUUAUUGGGUUUAAAGGGAGCGCAGGCGGACCUUUAAGUCAGCUGUGAAAUACGGCGGCUCAACCGUCGAACUGCAGUUGAUACUGGAGGUCUUGAGUGCACACAGGGAUGCUGGAAUUCAUGGUGUAGCGGUGAAAUGCUCAGAUAUCAUGAAGAACUCCGAUCGCGAAGGCAGGCAUCCGGGGUGCAACUGACGCUGAGGCUCGAAAGUGCGGGUAUCAAACAGGAUUAGAUACCCUGGUAGUCCGCACAGUAAACGAUGAAUACUCGCGGUUUGCGAUACAGUGUAAGCCGCCAAGCGAAAGCGUUAAGUAUUCCACCUGGGGAGUACGCCGGCAACGGUGAAACUCAAAUGAAUUGACGG
rnacentral:rRNA from 1 species